rnacentral:rRNA from 1 species
AGUGAACGCUGGCGGUAGGCCUAACACAUGCAAGUCGAACGGCAGCACAGGAGAGCUUGCUCUCUGGGUGGCGAGUGGCGGACGGGUGAGGAAUACAUCGGAAUCUACUUUUUCGUGGGGGAUAACGUAGGGAAACUUACGCUAAUACCGCAUACGACCUACGGGUGAAAGCAGGGGAUCUUCGGACCUUGCGCGAUUGAAUGAGCCGAUGUCGGAUUAGCUAGUUGGCGGGGUAAAGGCCCACCAAGGCGACGAUCCGUAGCUGGUCUGAGAGGAUUAUCAGCCACACGGGAACUGAGACACGGUCCAGACUCCUACGGGAGGCAGCAGUGGGGAAUAUUGGACAAUGGGCGCAAGCCUGAUCCAGCCAUACCGCGUGGGUGAAGAAGGCCUUCGGGUUGUAAAGCCCUUUUGUUGGGAAAGAAAUCCAGCUGGUUAAUACCCGGUUGGGAUGACGGUACCCAAAGAAUAAGCACCGGCUAACUUCGUGCCAGCCGCCGCAGUAA